UUGACCUCGGAUCAGGUGGGGAUACCCGCUGAACUUAAGCAUAUCAAUAAGCGGAAGGA
rnacentral:rRNA from 1 species